rnacentral:misc_RNA from 1 species
GAUGAAGAACGCAGCGAAAUGCGAUAAGUAAUGUGAAUUGCAGAAUUCAGUGAAUCAUCGAAUCUCUGAACGCACAUUGCGCCCGUCAGUAUUCUGGCGGGCAUGCCUGUUCGAGCGUCAUUACGCCCCUCAAGUCCCCUGUGGACUUGGUGUUGGGGAUCGGCGAGGCUGGUUUUCCAGCACAGCCGUCCCUUAAAUUAAUUGGCGGUCUCGCCGUGGCCCUCCUCUGCGCAGUAGUAAAACACUCGCAACAGGAGCCCGGCGCGGUCCACUGCCGUAAAACCCCCCAACUUUUUAUAGUUGACCUCGAAUCAGGUAGGACUACCCGCUGAACUUAAGCAUAUCAAUAAGCGGAGGA